rnacentral:rRNA from 1 species
GGCGGCAUGCUAACACAUGCAAGUCGAACGAGACUUCGGGUCUAGUGGCGCACGGGUGCGUAACGCGUGGGAAUCUGCCCUUAGGUACGGAAUAACUCAGGGAAACUUGUGCUAAUACCGUAUGAUGUCGAGAGACCAAAGAUUUAUCGCCUAGGGAUGAGCCCGCGUAGGAUUAGCUAGUUGGUGGGGUAAAGGCCUACCAAGGCUACGAUCCUUAGCUGGUCUGAGAGGAUGAUCAGCCACACUGGGACUGAGACACGGCCCAGACUCCUACGGGAGGCAGCAGUGGGGAAUAUUGGACAAUGGGCGAAAGCCUGAUCCAGCAAUGCCGCGUGAGUGAAGAAGGCCUUCGGGUUGUAAAGCUCUUUUACCCGGGAAGAUAAUGACUGUACCGGGAGAAUAAGCUCCGGCUAACUCCGUGCCAGCAGCCGCGGUAAUACGGAGGGAGCUAGCGUUGUUCGGAAUUACUGGGCGUAAAGCGUACGUAGGCGGCUUGGUAAGUCAGAGGUGAAAGCCCACGACUCAAUCGUGGAACUGCCUCUGAGACUGCUUCGCUUGAAGAUGGGAGAGGUUAGUGGAAUUCCGAGUGUAGAGGUGAAAUUCGUAGAUAUUCGGAAGAACACCGGUGG